rnacentral:rRNA from 1 species
UACGGAGGGUGCAAGCGUUAAUCGGAAUUACUGGGCGUAAAGCGUGCGCAGUCGGUUUGUUAAGUCUGUUGUGAAAUCCCCGAGCUCAACUUGGGAAUUGCAAUGGAUACUGGCAGGCUGGAGUAUGGUAGAGGAAGGUGGAAUUCCCGGUGUAGCAGUGAAAUGCGUAGAGAUCGGGAGGAACACCAGUGGCGAAGGCGGCCUUCUGGACCAAUACUGACGCUCAUGCACGAAAGCGUGGGGAGCAAACAGG